AUUGCUAAGUAAGAAGUUAAGUUGUUGCUAUCGCAACAAUCCUGGCAGACAAUUGAGUAAUAUUUUGAUGAUUUAUUUUGUUUGUAAUUAGUUAUUAUAAGAAGAUCUAGAUCCUAGAUAUUAGAAUAAAAUUUAUUUUCUACUGUAUCCAUUUCAAAUGUUAAAGUAUUGUUUAAUAUUUUUGAAAUCCCUGAAUAUCAGGCCUUGUUAUAAAUAAGCUGCGUAAUCAAUAAAUAGAACAAGGGACUUUUUGUUGAUAAUCCAAAUACUCAAAGUUUACGUAAUGAGAAUUACAGCGUGUGUGCAAACUCCUGAGGGUUGAUUAUGCUGCAGUUUUUAGCAUGUUGGAACGUCUAGAGAGAAGGUUGACUUUUUGCACUUCUGUAUAUAGUCAAAAGAGAGAAACCUGUAUAAUAGUAAGAUCUUAUUUUGAAUAAAAACGUCUAUAAUUACAAGGAGUUUUGUUAAGGCUAAUACAACGACAGACUGAGCAAAAUUGCUUGCAAAAGUGGCACAGAGUUAGCACUCCAUACCCCUUCAAACAUGUUGCUUUGCUUUUUGUGGACAGCUUGUAGUUUGCCAGGAUUUUUUCAGCUGGAAAGAUAGGCCAUCCUUCCGAGAUCUCAUGACUGACAAAAACUCCAUUGGGCCAAAUCUGCCUGAAGAUCAUUACCAAAACUAGCAGGUACUUCAACCAUUAAGGUGAAAUCAUGGAUCAAAUAUUCCUUACAUUUUUCAAAACUACUGCAUGUUUAAAACUUCAACAAAACAAAAAAGAGACAGAACUAUACUAAGGACAUAUACUAUUCAAAUCAGUUUCUGCCAAUUUCAGUGGUUUAUUGUUCACAAAAAAAAAAAAAAAAGAAAAAAAUCUUCAAAACAAGUAUUGACUUUCACAAAAUUUCAACCAUAAACAGGCAAACCAAACAGCACACAGUAGCUAUAGUUGUUACGUGAUUGUUUUUUAAUUGCUGUAGGAUCCUGUUCUUUCAGCAGGUGAAAAAGAUAAAACACAGUUCAAAUUUCAUGGUUUUAAUUUUCAACUCAGAAGCACUCAAAAACGCAAAUGUGAUAAUGGGCACGUGUUUAAUGAAUUAGUGUAUCCAGCCUUCACUCCAGCUGGUUAUGGUGUUGCACUUAUCAGCAACCCUACGCUUUCAUCUGCUGAAAGGACAGAUGUGCUUGGUUUUACUAUUAUGUAAUCACAACUUACUUUCUGCUUGUAGUUGCUUAAAAUUAUGUAUUUUGUCUUGGGCUGCAAUUUGUUUUAUGCUUAUUUUAUUAUUACUGCAGUAGUUGACUUUGCUGUAUGGAAAAAUAAAGUGAAAUUGCCCUAAUAAAACUUCUCUUUCUUAAG
rnacentral:lncRNA from 1 species